UACGUAGGGUGCGAGCGUUGUCCGGAAUUACUGGGCGUAAAGAGCUCGUAGGUGGUUUGUCGCGUUGUUCGUGAAAUCUCACGGCUUAACUGUGAGCGUGCGGGCGAUACGGGCAGACUGGAGUACUGCAGGGGAGACUGGAAUUCCUGGUGUAGCGGUGGAAUGCGCAGAUAUCAAGAGGAACACCUGCGGCGAAGGCGGGUUGCUGGGCCUUACCUGACGCUGAGGAGCGAAAGCGUGGGGAGCGAACAGG
rnacentral:rRNA from 1 species